AUGGCGUGCGCGCUCCUCCUUACCGGCAGCAACAGCACGUGCCACGCCGCCCGCAACCUGGCCGACAUGACGUCGGCGGCUGCCGCUCCGGCUGCUAGCGCCGUGCCCACGGACACGGUCACCCUGAUGCCACCAAUGCCGUCGGUCACCCUGCCCACCGUGCCGCAGGUGACGCUGCCGCCCAUGCCCUCCAUCGUCGUCACCCUCCCCACCAUGCCGCAGGUGACGAUGGCGCCCAUGCCUGCGAUUGUCGUGCCCAAGGUGACGAUGGCGCCGAUGCCUGCCAUUGUCGUGCCCAAGGUCACGCUGCCGCCGUUGCCAUUCGUCCCGAAUGUGAACGUGCCUAUGCCGUUCGCGGCACCGCCCCCGUCAGCGUAG
rnacentral:rRNA from 1 species